rnacentral:rRNA from 1 species
UACGUAGGGUGCAAGCGUUGUCCGGAAUUAUUGGGCGUAAAGAGCUCGUAGGCGGUUUGUCGCGUCUGCUGUGAAAACCCGAGGCUCAACCUCGGGCCUGCAGUGGGUACGGGCAGACUAGAGUGCGGUAGGGGAGAUUGGAAUUCCUGGUGUAGCGGUGGAAUGCGCAGAUAUCAGGAGGAACACCCGUAGCGAAGGCGGCACUCUGGGCCGGUACUGACGCUGAGGAGCGAAAGCGUGGGGAGCAAACAGG